CCACACUGUGGGAGGUUUGUUCUUUUGCUCUUUGCAAUAAAGCUUGCUGCUGUUCACUCUUUGGGUCCAGACUGUCUUUAUGAGCUAUAACACUCACCGGGAAGGUCUGCAGCUUCACUCCUGAAGCCAAGGAGACCACGAACCCACCGAGAGGAAGGAACAACUACAGACACGCCGGCUUAAGAGCUAUAACACUCACUGCGAAGGUCCGCAGCUUCACUCUUGAGCCAGCGAGACCACGAACCCACCAGAAGGAAGAAACUCCAAACACAUCCGAACAUCAGAAGGAAAAAACUCCAGACACGCCGCCUUUAAGAACUGCAACACCGCGAGGGUCCGCGGCUUCAUUCUUGAAGUCAGUGAGACCAAGAACCCACCAAUUCCAGACACACUACCAAAGGCAGAGGGGAGCUCCUAGACAAAGGUCCAGUUCCUUGUUCAAGACACCAAGACCCUGGACAACCUCCUCUGAUAUUUUGCUUACGAAUGGAACACAUCAAAUCAAGCUUUUGUGAACUUGAGGGAAGAAACAAAGAAUAUGAAGCCUAAAUGGAAGUGUCAGGAAAUGGUCGCCUUGCGGACAAGGAAACAGCAGCCUGGAAGGCCAGGAGAGGGCAGACUACCCACCUAACCCUCUGCAGAAUUUUGUGUGGACCCUGGAGACCAGAAACUAACUUCUCCUGCAGAGACAAGGUCUUGCUCUUUCACCCUGGCUGGUCUUGAACUCCUGGCUUCAAGCAAUUCAUCCAUCUCAGCCUCCUGAGUAGCUGGGAUUACAGAUGACUUGCUGCAUGUGAAGAACAGUUCCUGGCACAGGGUUUGCUCCAAAUAAAUGUUGUCAUCAUCACCAGCACCAUCAUCAUCACCAUCAUCAUAAAUGUAAACAUAAU